rnacentral:rRNA from 1 species
GACGAACGCUGGCGGCGUGCUUAACACAUGCCAGUCGAACGGAAAGGCCCUGCUUGCAGGGUACUCGAGUGGCGAACGGGUGAGUAACACGUGGGUGAUCUGCCCUGCACUUCGGGAUAAGCCUGGGAAACUGGGUCUAAUACCGGAUAGGAGCCAUUUUUAGUGUGAUGGUUGGAAAGUUUUUUCGGUGUAGGAUGAGCUCGCGGCCUAUCAGCUUGUUGGUGGGGUAAUGGCCUACCAAGGCGGCGACGGGUAGCCGGCCUGAGAGGGUGGACGGCCACAUUGGGACUGAGAUACGGCCCAGACUCCUACGGGAGGCAGCAGUGGGGAAUAUUGCACAAGGGGCGCAAGCCUGAUGCAGCGACGCCGCGUGGGGGAGGACGGCCUUCGGGUUGUAAACUCCUUUCGCUAGGGACGAAGCUUUUUGCGACGGUACCUAGAGAAGAAGCACCGGCUAACUACGUG